GAAAGUUUUUAUAUUUUGUUAAUAGAAAUAGAAAUUUUUAUAUUUUUUAUUAUUAGGAAUUUCUAUUUUGUUAAAUUGUAAGUAUCUAUCUCAAUAAGAGAUUAUUAAUAUUCAAAUGAAAGUGAUGAAAGAGAGUAAAUAUUUUAAUGCUCAAUUAUAUUUUAAUGUUAUUUUUUUUUUACAUAAGGGUUUAUUUAUGUUUUCAAUUUUGAAGUUCCAUUUCCAAGUCUAGCAACAAAAGUAGUGUCCAACCUUAAAAUGGGUAUGUGUGGUAUUGACGGGAGAUGAUAAGAUGGAAAUCAUAACCAUAACCAUGUUCUCUCUGUGUCUUUCUAUCCUAUUCAAUUAAUUCAUGGGCAUAGAUAUUUUAUUUAGUUUUUAUAUUUAGUUUAUUUAUAGUUUAUUUAGUUUCUAAAAUCCAAUUAGCUAGAUAUUUUAUUUGAUUUUGUUUUUAUAUUUAAGUAGUUGAGUUUUGGAAAGUUUUUAUAUUUUGUUAAUAGAAAUAGAUAUGAGGACUUAAAGGGUUUAUAUUUAGGUAGUGCUUGAGCCAAGGAAAAUGAUAGUCCACUAUCUUGACCCUAUGCAUCACAAACCAUGUGAGGACUUAAAUGACAUCGUAAACAUGGCUCUUCGAAUAUUUGCAAAGAAAACAUCUAAGAGGGAGCCAUCUUAGCAACUAGUGCAGGUGACAUCCAAAAAUUUUUCUUUACACAUUAGCUUAUGCAUUUGCACCAUUUAUAUAUGUGAGUACUAAUGUUAUUUUAUAAUUGAUCGAUUAGUGUCCAAGACAAGAAGGAGGGUUCGAAUGUGGCUACUUUGUUAUGAGAUUCAUUAAAGAGAUAAUUUUUUAUCCUACAAUUAUUGCUUCAAAGUUUGGUGAUAAAAAAAAAACAUAUUCUCAAGUAGAAUUCGAUGAAAUUAGAGGAGAAUGGACUACUUUUGUGCUACAACUAAUCAUGAAUCAUGUUGAUGCAUCAUGAUCACCAUGCAUGGUAUACACUCUUGGGAGGGUGAAAUGGAGAAUAUAUAAAAAAAAAGAAGGCAACAAGAUUUUGGGUUUUUAAAUGCAACUCUUAUGUCAUACGUUAUAGGACAUAAGCGUUACUUUAAUUGCAACUGAGAAAUUUAGAUUUUUAGAUGAGACUUUUAUGUCAUUUUAUGGUUAGCCGGUUUUAUGCUUAUGAAAUGGAGGUAUACAUGAAUCUUGGGAUCUUUAACAUUUCUGAAUCAUGUUUUGGUAUGUAUUCACUCUUCUUUUUUAGUUUUGAUGGGUUUGAUAUGUUGGACGUACUAUCCUUUUGUAAACAUUUGAUAUACAAAUAUUAUUA